CCUACGGGCGGCAGCAGUGGGGAAUAUUGCACAAUGGGGGAAACCCUGAUCCAGCGACGCCGCGUGAGUGAAGAAGUAAUUCGUUACGUAAAGCUCUAUCUGCAGGGAAGAAAAUGACGGUACCUGAGUAAGAAGCCCCGGCUAACUACGUGCCAGCAGCCGCGGUAAUACGUAGGGGGCCAGCGUUAUCCGGAUUUACUGGGUGUAAAGGGAGCGUAGACGGUGUGCCAAGUCUGGAGUGAAAUGCCGCGGCUUAACUGCGGAACUGCUUUGGAAACUGGCGAACUAGAGUGCGGGAGGGGUAGGCGGAAUUCCUAGUGUAGCGGUGAAAUGCGUAGAUAUUAGGAAGAACACCGGUGGCGAAGGCAGCUUACUGGACCGGAACUGACGUUGAGGCUCGAAAGCGUGGGGAGCAAACAGGAUUAGAUACCCGAGUAGUC
rnacentral:rRNA from 1 species